rnacentral:rRNA from 1 species
AGAGUUUGAUCCUGGCUCAGGAUGAACGCUAGCUACAGGCUUAACACAUGCAAGUCGAGGGGAAACGACAUCGAAAGCUUGCUUUUGAUGGGCGUCGACCGGCGCACGGGUGAGUAACGCGUAUCCAACCUGCCCACCACUUGGGGAUAACCUUGCGAAAGUAAGACUAAUACCCAAUGACGUCUCUAGAAGACAUCUGAAGGAGAUUAAAGAUUUAUCGGUGAUGGAUGGGGAUGCGUCUGAUUAGCUUGUUGGCGGGGUAACGGCCACCAAGGCGACGAUCGAGUAGGGGUUCUGAGAGGAAGGUCCCCCANACUUGGAACUGAGACACGGUCCAAACUCCUACGAGGCA